GUUUGGAAAACCAGUCAUUAGCCCUCUUCAAGUGGCCAGAGUUAUCACUGGACCCAAGGAUAUCUGGUCUCCUAUUGCCCUGAAGUAAAGCACAGUGAGACUGCCACCACCAAACGGGCUAUGGGACACUUAACUACCAGAGUAGCCCUUUUCUGCACAAUUUUUCUAAAAGAUAAACAGGUUUCUUAAAAAGGCAGCCCGAGCACAGAUGUGUCUGAUGUCCCCAGCUUUGUUACAUCCGACUGAGAGGCUCUCAGGCCCGUGUCAGCUGGCUUCCUGUGUAGCUGGGCCGCUGUCGCCCCCGUUUGGCUCUAAUCAGCUCCGUUGUGGGCCUGAACGCUCAUGUGGAACAGAUCUACUGAAGAUUUGGGGAUACUGAAACGGAAUUACAGCAAAGCACAAAGAAGUUCUCCAUGUCGUCAGUUCAUGGCCAACCGAGUCCUCCCAACUUGAUGUGUCCUUUGCUUAAGAACCAGCAAAAACUGACCGAUGGCUUUGAAUUCCAGUUCCAAAGUCCCAGGGAAAGGAUUUCAUUCAGGCUGAGAAGUCAGGGAUCCCUGGCCCCUGGGGACUACCGGCUACAGUCACGGAGGAAACACAAGGUCACAGAUGCUAUAAACAGAGAGAGAGGCAGAGACACAGGCCGAGGGAGAAGCAGGCUCCUUGCAAGGAGCCCGAUGUGGGACUCAAUCCUGAAUCCUGGGAUCAAGCCCUGGGCCGAAGGCAGAUGCUCAACCUCUGAGCCACCCAGGCGUCCCUAUAAACAUCUUUAUAACAAGGAAAGAGAGAACUGUGUCACAGGGGGUAUUUCCAUACCAGCAAAGCCCUGGCAACGUCCAGUUGUACUAUCAGCCACGACAAAAGACAGGAGGGGAUCUGAGCGCCCUCUACCCACAAGACACACGACUGGAGAAAAGAGUGCCCGACUGACAAGUCAACGCCCGUCUGUGACUGACAAAGCUCGGCAGGGAUGUGAGUGACUACAGAUUCAACCACUGACUGUAUUAUUCAUUUAAUGGAAAUUCCCAUCCUGACUUAAGCACUAAUCAUGGGUGAGGCUGUGAAAGAAGGGCACACAAUUUACCGAUUACAUCAUCCCCAAGGCGGAAGAUUCACAACUGGCUUAAUCCUGAUUGCUUCAAAAAUUCAUUUGAGACUGUCACAGAGAGAGAGAGAGAGAGGCAGAGACACAGGCAGAGGGAGAAGCAGGCUCCAUGCACCGGGAGCCCGACAUGGGAUUCGAUCCCGGGUCUCCAGGAUCACGCCCUGAGCCAAAGGCAGGCGCCAAACCGCUGCGCCACCCAGGGAUCCCAAGUUUUCAGGAUUUAAGUGAUUUUGCCCUAGAUCAUGGAUUGCAUCUUUUUAAUAAGAUUAUGUCCGAAAAGCCCAAUUCUCUUUGAGCCUUCUUUGGUCUGAUUUGUCUUUUGGGGGGGUAUGAUGUGGGAUCUUCCUAGGUUAGAAAAUAAAACCUAAAAUAUCUUUCUCUUGCCUGAUGUCCUCUAUCUGGUCAUUAUUUUCUAUCAACCUGUGAAGCAAGCAGGUUUUUUACUAAGGUUCAGAACAACUUACUAUGAAGAGAAAUGUGAAGCC